UAAUACAGAGGGUGCAAGCGUUGUUCGGAAUUACUGGGCGUAAAGCGCGCGCAGGCGGGUCCUGUAAGUCUGGAGUGAAAUUUCGGAGCUCAACUCCGAAGCUGCUUCGGAUACUGCGGAUCUAGAGACCGGUAGAGGCUGGUAGAAUUACAGGUGUAGCGGUGGAAUGCGUAGAUAUCUGUAAGAAUACCCGUGGCGAAGGCGGCCAGCUGGGCCGGGUCUGACGCUGAGGCGCGAAAGCGUGGGGAGCAAACAGGAUUAGAUACCCUGGUAGUCCACGCCGUAAACGAUGGGCACUAGGUGCCGGGGGGAGCGACCCCUUCGGUGCCGCAGCUAACGCGAUAAGUGCCCCGCCUGGGGAGUACGGCCGCAAGGCUG
rnacentral:rRNA from 1 species